rnacentral:rRNA from 1 species
CAUACUCCAUGGAUAACUGUAGUAAUUCUAGAGCUAAUACAUGCCACUAUGCCCUGACCCGCAAGGGAACCGGUGGAUUUAUUAGAACAGAACCAACCGGUGCAGCUUGCUGUGCCGUGGAUCUGUGAUGACUCUGGAUAACUUCACUGAUCGCAGUCGGCCUUGUGUCGGCGACGGAUCUUUCAAAUGUCUGCCCUAUCAAUUGUCGAUGGUAGGUGACCUGCCUACCAUGGUGAUAACGGGUAACGGGGAAUCAGGGUUCGAUUCCGGAGAGGGAGCCUGAGAAACGGCUACCAGUUCCAAGGAAGGCAGCAGGCACGCAAAUUACCCACUCCCGGCACGGGGAGGUAGUGACGAAAAAUACGGAUACGGGACUCAAAUGAGGCUCCGUAAUUCGAAUGAGUACAAUUUAAAUCCUUUAACGAGGAUCAACUGGAGGGCAAGUCUGGUGCCAGCAGCCGCGGUAACUCCAGCUCCAGAAGCGUAUAUUAAAGUUGUUGCAGUUAAAAAGCUCGUAGUUGGAUCUGGGUCGUAUGACUACAUGCUGUUGCCUGUAUUCUCGGUUUGGUAUAACCGGCUGAGUUUGUGGGUCUGCGUCGUGGUUGUGCAGCCUUUUUGCUGUGUCUGCUUCGGCAGGUGCUGACUUCCGGUGGACUUGUCUGCUGGUCUGUUGGCAUGCUUCCGAUGUCUUUAACCGGGUGUCGGGGGCGGACGGCACGUUUACUUUGAACAAAUUUGAGUGCUCAAAGCAGGCCUGUGUGCCUGAAAAUUCUUGCAUGGAAUAAUGGAAUAGGACUUCGGUUCUAUUUUGUUGGUUUUCGGAUCCGAAGUAAUGGUUAAGAGGGACAGACGGGGGCAUUUGUAUGGCGGUGUUAGAGGUGAAAUUCUUGGAUCACCGCCAGACAAACUACAGCGAAAGCAUUUGCCAAGGAUGUUUUCAUUGAUCUGGAGCGAAAGUCAGAGGUUCGAAGACGAUCAGAUACCGUCCUAGUUCUGACCAUAAACGAUGCCAACUGACGAUCCGUGGAGGUUCUAUUAUUGGCCCCACGGGCAGUCCCCGGGAAACCUUUAAGUCUUUGGGCUCCGGGGGAAGUAUGGUUGCAAAGCUGAAACUUAAAGGAAUUGACGGAAGGGCACCACCAGGAGUGGAGCCUGCGGCUUAAUUUGACUCAACACGGGAAAACUCACCCGGCCCGGACACUGUGAGGAUUGACAGAUUGAUAGCUCUUUCUUGAUUCGGUGGUUGGUGGUGCAUGGCCGUUCUUAGUUGGUGGAGCGAUUUGUCUGGUUAAUUCCGAUAACGAACGAGACUUUGGCCUGCUAAAUAGUUUCCCUGUCCUCUGUGCUCGUGCAGGUGGCGGCGUUCACCGCUUUUUAAAGUGGUGGUGUCGUUUACCGGCGGGUACGGCGCAGGCGUUUACUUCUUAGAGGGACAAGCGGCGUACAGUCGCACGAAAUUGAGCAAUAACAGGUCUGUGAUGCCCUUAGAUGUCCGGGGCCGCACGUGCGCUACAAUGACGAUCUCAGCGAGUUUGAAAACCUGGCUUGAAAGAGUUGGGCAAACUGUAUCAUGACCGUCGUGACUGGGAUCGGGGCUUGCAAUUGUUCCCCGUGAACGAGGAAUUCCUGGUAAGUGCAAGUCAUAAGCUUGCGCUGAUUACGUCCCUGCCCUUUGUACACACCGCCCGUCGCUACUACCGAUUGAAUGGUUUAGCAAGGUCCUCGGAUUGGUGCCAUUGUAGUUGCUUCCGGUGACUUCGACCGGCGCUGAAGAAGACGACCAAACUUUGAUCAUU